CCUUAGAGUUUGAUCCUGGCUCAGGACGAACGCUGGCGGCGUGCCUAACACAUGCAAGUCGAACGAGCGAGAGAGAGCUUGCUUUCUCAAGCGAGUGGCGAACGGGUGAGUAACGCGUGAGGAACCUGCCUCAAAGAGGGGGACAACAGUUGGAAACGACUGCUAAUACCGCAUAAGCCCACGACCCGGCAUCGGGCUGAGGGAAAAGGAUUUAUUCGCUUCAGGAUGGACUCGCGUCCAAUUAGCUAGUUGGUGAGGUAACGGCCCACCAAGGCGACGAUUGGUAGCCGGACUGAGAGGUUGAACGGCCACAUUGGGACUGAGACACGGCCCAGACUCCUACGGGAGGCAGCAGUGGGGGAUAUUGCACAAUGGGGGAAACCCUGAUGCAGCGACGCCGCGUGGAGGAAGAAGGUUUUCGGAUUGUAAACUCCUGUCGUUAGGGACGAUAAUGACGGUACCUAACAAGAAAGCACCGGCUAACUACGUGCCAGCAGCCGCGGUAAAACGUAGGUCACAAGCGUUGUCCGGAAUUACUGGGUGUAAAGGGAGCGCAGGCGGGAAGACAAGUUGGAAGUGAAAUCCAUGGGCUCAACCCAUGAACUGCUUUCAAAACUGUUUUUCUUGAGUAGUGCAGAGGUAGGCGGAAUUCCCGGUGUAGCGGUGGAAUGCGUAGAUAUCGGGAGGAACACCAGUGGCGAAGGCGGCCUACUGGGCACCAACUGACGCUGAGGCUCGAAAGUGUGGGUAGCAAACAGGAUUAGAUACCCUGGUAGUCCACACUGUAAACGAUGAUUACUAGGUGUUGGAGGAUUGACCCCUUCAGUGCCGCAGUUAACACAAUAAGUAAUCCACCUGGGGAGUACGACCGCAAGGUUGAAACUCAAAGGAAUUGACGGGGGCCCGCACAAGCAGUGGAGUAUGUGGUUUAAUUCGAAGCAACGCGAAGAACCUUACCUGAUCUUGACAUCCCGAUGACCGCUUCGUAAUGGAAGUUAUUCUUCGGAACAUCGGUGACAGGUGGUGCAUGGUUGUCGUCAGCUCGUGUCGUGAGAUGUUGGGUUAAGUCCCGCAACGAGCGCAACCCUUAUCUUCAGUAGCCAGCAUUUAGGGUGGGCACUCUGGAGAGACUGCCAGGGAUAACCUGGAGGAAGGUGGGGAUGACGUCAAAUCAUCAUGCCCCUUAUGACCAGGGCUACACACGUGCUACAAUGGCGUAAACAAAGGGAAGCGAAGCCGCGAGGCCGAGCAAAUCUCAAAAAUAACGUCUCAGUUCGGAUUGUAGUCUGCAACUCGACUACAUGAAGCUGGAAUCGCUAGUAAUCGCAGAUCAGAAUGCUGCGGUGAAUACGUUCCCGGGUCUUGCACACACCGCCCGUCA
rnacentral:rRNA from 1 species